rnacentral:rRNA from 1 species
AGCGGCAACAGCUCAAAUUUGAAAUCUGGCCCCCCGGCCCGAGUUGUAAUUUGCAGAGGAUGCUUUUGGUGAGGCACCUACCGAGUCCCCUGGAAUGGGGCGCCAUAGAGGGUGAGAGCCCCGUAUGGUAGGACGCCGAGCCUCUGUAAAGCUCCUUCGACGAGUCGAGUAGUUUGGGAAUGCUGCUCUAAAUGGGAGGUAAAUUUCUUCUAAAGCUAAAUACCGGCCAGAGACCGAUAGCGCACAAGUAGAGUGAUCGAAAGAUGAAAAGCACUUUGAAAAGAGGGUUAAAAAGUACGUGAAAUUGUUGAAAGGGAAGCGCUUGUGACCAGACUUGCGCCGGGCGGAUCAUCCAGCGUUCUCGCUGGUGCACUCCGCCCGGUUCAGGCCAGCAUCGGCUUUCGCCGGGGGACAAAGGCUUCGGGAACGUGGCUCCUUUCGGGGAGUGUUAUAGCCCGUUGCGUAAUACCCCGGCGGGGACCGACGACCGCGCUUCGGCAAGGAUGCUGGCGUAAUGGUCAUCAGCGACCCGUCUUGAAACACGGACCGAGGAGUCAAGCAUUAGUGCGAGUGUUUGGGUGUAAAACCCGCACGCGUAAUGAAAGUGAACGUAGGUGAGAGCUUCGGCGCAUCAUCGACCGAUCCUGAUGUUUUCGGAAGGAUUUGAGUAGGAGCAUUAACGCUUGGACCCGAAAGAUGGUGAACUAUACUUGAAUAGGGUGAAGCCA